GAGGAAUAUUGGGCAAUGGGCGCAAGCCUGACCCAGCCAUGCCGCGUGAAGGAUGAAGGCCCUAUGGGUUGUAAACUUCUUUUUUACGGGACAAAACUCUCGGACGUGUCCGGGAUUGAUGGUACUGUAUGAAUAAGCAUCGGCUAACUCCGUGCCAGCAGCCGCGGUAAUACGGAGGAUGCAAGCGUUAUCCGGAUUCAUUGGGUUUAAAGGGUGCGUAGGCGGAAUAAUAAGUCAGUGGUGAAAGCCUGCGGCUUAACCGUAGAAUUGCCGUUGAUACUGUUAUUCUUGAGUAUAGUUGAAGUGGGCGGAAUGUGUAAUGUAGCGGUGAAAUGCUUAGAUAUUACACAGAACACCAAUUGCGAAGGCAGCUCGCUAAACUGUUACUGACGCUGAGGCACGAAAGCGUGGGGAGCAAAC
rnacentral:rRNA from 1 species